rnacentral:rRNA from 1 species
AUUGAACGCUGGCGGCAGGCCUAACACAUGCAAGUCGAGCGAGCGGCGGACGGGUGAGUAACGUCUGGGAAACUGCCUGAUGGAGGGGGAUAACUACUGGAAACGGUAGCUAAUACCGCAUACCAUCAGAUGUGCCCAGAUGGGAUUAGCUAGUAGGUGGGGUAACGGCUCACCUAGGCGACGAUCCCUAGCUGGUCUGAGAGGAUGACCAGCCACACUGGAAAUGGAACACGGGCCAGACCCCUACGGGGGGCAGCAGUGGGGAAUAUUUCACAAUGGGCGCAAGCCCGGUGCAGCCAUGCCGGGUGUAUGAAGAAGGCCUUCGGGUUGGAAAGUACUUUCAGCGGGGAGGAGGUACCCGCAGAAGAAGCACCGGCUAACUCCGUGCCAGCAGCCGCGGUAAUUC